CGCAACCCCUGUCCUUAGUUGCCAUCAUUUAGUUGGGGCACUCUAAGGAGACUGCCGGUGUUAAACCGGAGGAAGGUGGGGAUGACGUCAAGUCCUCAUGGCCCUUAUGUCCAGGGCUACACACGUGCUACAAUGGCCGGUACAAAGGGCAGCAAAGCCGCGAGGUGGAGCCAAUCCCAGAAAGCCGGUCUCAGUUCGGAUUGGAGUCUGCAACUCGACUCCAUGAAGUUGGAAUCGCUAGUAAUCGCGGAUCAGCAUGCCGCGGUGAAUACGUUCCCGGGCCUU
rnacentral:rRNA from 1 species